UUCUGAAUCAACUUGACAUGUUUAGUAUUCAGUUAACCACAGAAUCACCUUCUCAAUGUUGUUGCUUGGGGGAGUAAUGUAGAACCACAUAAGCAUAAUUUUAAAUUGACAGUAAUUCUGCAAUGCACUUUUUCUCCUCUUAAGUGGACCGAUACAAUCCUGUUUAUGUUUAUUGAUCUUAUUCUACCUUGCAGAUACCGCAUCAAGCAAGAUAAUCUUCUUUUAAAAAAGGAGAAUGUUCCCCAAUGAAAGACGUAACAAACAUUACAGCCAGUGGGCCUACAGGAUCGAGGAGCCAACUAGAGAGGAAAAAAGCUCCAGCCGGAAAUUAGGAUGGUAUGCAAAAAUGUAGAAUGAGAAGAAAUCUGAAUACAUGAAUAAGUUGCGUGUAUCCUGACAACAAAACGAAAGCUGCAACAGCGUUGGUUUUUAAUCUCGCUGACCCACCGUCUUCUUUGCUGGGGUCUGUGGGUUCUACCCCUCUUAAAGAUGUAACAAACAUAUUAAUAGCAUAUGGUGAUAAUAAAAGUGGAUCUGUAAACCCCACUGUUGUCGAUGAACCAUUGCAACAAAAUCAUAAAGGGAGUAGUGGUACAUCCUGGUACACACGACUUUCAGACAAGAAAGAAGCAGCAUAUCUUGAGAAGCUGCGAUUAUCUUGCCAACAAAAAAAAGUAGCCGCUCUCGGACAGAAUAUGGCUAAACUGGAAGCAUCUUGCCCAGUGAUAUUUCUCAAAUAGGAUCGAGGCAAUCCGUACUCACCCAGCUAGGAGGGACGCUAAAGUGUACUUGCUACUGCAGCCAUGGAGCCAACCAUUACUCCACAUGAUGACAGUGAUUGGCUCCACAGGAGCAAUGCAUACCAGCGAGUAAGAACUUUUGAUCUUAUUACUGCUACACCAUCAAACAAUAAACCAGGUAGUGUUACGUGUAUACUAUAUAUCAUUGUUACAGCACAUAUAUCUUACAACUGUAUAUUGGGCUGCUGUACGGUUUCCGACAUUUGCAGUAGUUUAUAUAUGGUGAUCAGACUGCAUACUAUGCAAGUGACCUCCCAGAUUUUAAUAGGUACCAGACAUCCAAAUGUACCAAACUGAAUACAUGUACUAAAAUAUAUGUAGGCCGAUGCAGCUAUUCAUACUUUGAUUAGACAUUAGUAUUACUACCAUAUUUGUUUGGUAUUUAGGAAAUAUGAACUGGGGUGAUCAGAGGGACUGUAACAAGUACCAUGACUCUAUAUUCUCUAUAAGGCCUCGUUUGGCACAGGAGUUUUAACCGGGUUUGUGGAGUAUUAUCCCGGCCUAAACUUUAUACACGUGAAACCGCGAGCGAGCCGUUUGGCAGGCCGGUCUUGGCCGG